UACGUAGGGGGCGAGCGUUGUCCGGAUUUAUUGGGCGUAAAGAGCGUGUAGGCGGCCAGGUAGGUCUGCUGUGAAAACUCGAGGCUCAACCUCGAGACGUCGGCGGAAACCAUCUGGCUAGAGUCCGGAAGAGGAGAGUGGAAUUCCUGGUGUAGCGGUGAAAUGCGCAGAUAUCAGGAAGAACACCAAUAGCGAAGGCAGCUCGCUGGGACGUUACUGACACUGAGGCGCGAAAGCGUGGGGAGCGAACAGG
rnacentral:rRNA from 1 species